rnacentral:rRNA from 1 species
AGCAACCUCGCCGAUCUGGAGGGGAGUAGCCGGCCCAACGGCCGGGUAAUACCGCAUACGCUUUUCGAGUGGAGUCACUUGGAAAGGAAACCUCCGGGGCAGAUCGAGGGGCUCGCGGCCUAUCAGCUAGUUGGCGGUGUAACGGACCACCAAGGCAUCGACGGGUAGCUGGUCUGAGAGGAUGGCCAGCCACAUUGGGACUGAGAGACGGCCCAG